rnacentral:lncRNA from 1 species
CAAGCAGUGCCACGGUAUUUGGGUAGAUGCGGUUGAGUCCUUUUCCUGGAAGUCGGUCAGCUGAAAAACAAUGUAAAUUCCCGGUUUUGAAGACUUAUUGCUCUCAAAUCUGAUGGCUUUUAAACGGAGGGGCCGGAAUAUCACAGAAGCCUUGGGAACAGCAAAGUCAAAAGAAUGGUACUUUUAAAAAUGGUGUCUUUGCUGUAAGGAGCAGAGCAUAUUCAAAACUCAUGGGAGCAUCUCAGGUCUCAGGCCAAAUCAUUCAGCCUGUCUUCACACAGCCUGAGUACAGUUAUUUAUAUAAAAACUGUUUCUCUUGUGCCAUCACUUUUUCACUGUGUGUCAUCAGUUUUUGUUUGGAAUUUGGCAUUAUUUCUAUAGAGUUUUGUUCUCCUUCCUUAUACAUGUCAUCCAUAUAUUUAUCCAUUCUUUCCUUUAUUUUACUUUGAUCAAAGUAUGAGUGUUUUGUCUGAUUCUGCCUUUGCAAAUUUAAAAACUGCUCUAAAAAUUAUUCUUGUGCAUUCCAAAAAUUCGAACAGAAGAAUAAAAUUCUAAAUUCACCUAGAAACCUACUACCAAGAUAUAGCUCCCGGGAGCUCUGUUUUCACGCUACUAAAUCUUGCAACUGCACUCUUCUGGUCCGUGUUUAUUACGGCUGGAGCUGAGCUUUCACUCGCCCUGCACCACUGCUGCUGGCUGCCGUCACAGACCCGCCACUGACUUCCAUCCCUCCGGAUGCGGCAGGGUGUCCGCUGUGCUCCUGAUCCAGUGAGGCGCCCAAUGCCCCUCCCAAUCGGGCUAAAGGCUUGCCAUUGUUCCUGCACGGCUAAGUGCCUGGGUUUGACCUAAUCAAGCUGAACAUUAGUCACUGGAUUCCACGCUUCUCUGAUUUCUUCAGAAGAUGAAAUAGAUCAUCUGCCUUAAGGUUCUGGACCAGUGUAUGCAACACAAUAAACGUUCAGGAAAUGGUUGCUAUGAUGAUGACGACGAUGAUUAUGACAACAAUGAUGAUGAUGAAAUGAGUUGGCUUCAGCCCAGAGCAGAAUAUGUUCCCUAAUAAAGUAUGAGGAUGUCAGCACAUGCCAUUUGUGUCCCACCCAAAGCUGCAAACUUACUUAAAGUUUAUCUGUAGCUUCAGGGGACAAUUUCCAUAAUGACUGAUGGCAUUUUACCCUGGGUGUGGAUCUUCAGGAGGUUGCCUCUCCCUGGCUGCAGAAUUAUCAUUUUUAGAGAAGCAGUGUGAUAAUCGUGGAACCAUCCCCUACAUUCCU